rnacentral:lncRNA from 1 species
CACUCACUAGCGUGACUUCUUUCACCUCCAUUCACGGUGUGCUGCAGCUGUUUCUAAAUGUACACAAAUGGCCAAAGUGCCGAGCGGCCCGCCCGGUCGUGUAAACACUAAACAGCACGAGACUUGUAGAUAUAGAAACUUAUUGACUCACUCGCUAGGCUAAACUACUAGAUUGUUCUCCGACUUGUAGAUGAGACUAUACAUGUGCAGGUGAGAUCUGCCUCGUGUCCUACUCCCGCCUCGUGCAGCAUGCCCAGCAGUCCCGCCAACUUUCUAAUUGGAUUGUCGCUAUCGUGUCAUCGCAAGGAGUCGGGAGCCGCACCGAUUGAGCCGUCGUGCAUCAGAUAAGGCGGCCAUCAGGCGUUUGCUCCUAUUGGAGCCAACGGGGGGUGAAUUCAAAUAACUCGUCGACUGCUGCUGCAGUCUGCAGGAGCAGCAGCCCGUGGCCGUUAGGACAUUGGACAGUCCUCGGGUCAGACUAGGAGCCAACGCCAAAUAACCACCGGCGUUCUAUUAGGAGCGAAGAAAAGAGAAGAAAAUGACAGGGCGGCGGCCAUCCAUUAGAGGGGAAAAAAAUCGCAUCAUCUCAUCAACUCUUCUGCGCUGCUGCACACACAUCACAUAUUCCAUUUAAUGUGCUUUCCUAUAUAUAGGAGGACUUCUUAUUCUCGUUAGUUUGAGGACGUUGGUUCAAGAAAGAAAGUGCGUUCCUCCGUCCACAUACUAACUGCAUAGUUUUCUAUUUGCUUGACCUUAGGGAUAGAGUCGAACGGAACGCCCAACCAAUAAAAACAAGUGAAAACCCCCAUCGCGUUAACGGUAUACUGUAGAGAACCGUCUUUUGGAACUCUUGGACAAUCUCAUCUGCCUAAUUAAACGGCCUCAAACGCCUCGGUUCUUUCCCGUUACAAUCGCGAAUGAAUAAUGAAUUACACGAAAGUUAAGAAAAGGAGAGACAACAACAAAAGAAAAGAGAAGGUUUCAAAGACUGUCAUUAACGUCUCUCCACGGGCCGCACCUUUCUCCAUUUCUUUUUUCUCAUUUAAUUUAUUGCUUUAUUUUAAGGAUGGAUAUUUAGCCGACUAUAGCAUUUAUCUUGACUAUAUGGUAGGGGGGCUCAGUAUAACUUGAUGAGAUCACUAUUACAUAUUAAAAUAAUCGCGAUCUGUUCAGCGGAUGAGAAAACCACUUUGAUCGUUUUUGAGCGGUUUUGAUUUAGUGGGGGAGGGGGAGUCGAUUAAAAUUUCUAUCGAUAUCUUAAGUUUGACUCAUUCGAAGAUUAAUGUCGUCUGCUAUUCAUUAUGUUGGACAAGUUUUAAAAAUGUGGGCGUCGUGUCAACUCUGGUCGCCAGAAUAGCUUAAUACACACUCCAUGCUGUUUAGCAGAUACACUGCAUCAUCCCUCUUGAUUGGAGAAACUAACGAUGUCGGGUCACCCCCACUCACACUCACAUGGAGUGUGGGUGUAUUCACGAGGACACCCUUUUCCAUCCCGCCUGAUGCUGGAUUCAACUUCUGUGGGAUGGAUGAAGCAAUUGUGGAUGCCUGGCCGUAUUUCCCAGGCUAAAAGGAGACCCCCGUGACAAUAAAUAUGUGCCGUUAUUGUCGGCUGUCGUCUCGUGUUGCGUAUCGUAUAUAAUAAGCAACGGUCGGGCAGCAACGGUCUAUUUUGCAUCAUCACAUCCCUUCUCUCGUCGUAAUAAACUAAUGGCCGUUUCAUAACUGCGCAGUGUUUCCAUACUCGCUAGUUUGGCUCAAGUGUUGUCUAAUGACAAUGCUGCAUAUUCUGUUGUUGGACUUUUUAUCUCUUCUAAUGGCCUUCCUUUUUCUUUCCGGUUGAUGUAUCGAACACAUUGGCCUUCUUUUCUUUCUUCUUUUCUUGACAUGUCUGGACUCUCUGGACUAUAUUUUGUCUGGAACUUUGAGAAAAUCAAGCUGCAAUUAUGUAUACGUAUGUAUAUAUACAUGCAACAACGUUGGCGAUGCCGUCCCAAGCAAAUAAUAAACGGGACGGAACGUCUUAUCAAAACAAAAGAAGAAAACUCGAGACCGCCGCAUAUUGCCGCAGUCCCGUCGGGAUUAGCCUCUUAAUUAAGCGUCGUCGCCGGCUUUUCAUGUUUUAUAAUACUGUGUAUAUGUAUACUGUAUAUGACUUUGGAUAUACGAAGCGAAACAAUUUCAUAAAUUCGGAAUGUAAGCCCAUCGUCGACAAAGACGAAUGCAAGUCAUUACACCUCUCAAGUGGAACGGCCAAAAAUCUUGUAGAUUUGCCAAGGUUUUGAUUUAAAGUUAACCUUGGUCAAAAUCAAAUUAUGGUCACCCUGCUAAUGAUUUUACAGUAUCAAUAAGACAAUAAAAACCAAAAAUUGUAACGAA